UACGAAGGGGGCUAGCGUUGUUCGGAAUCACUGGGCGUAAAGCGCACGUAGGCGGUUGUGUCAGUCAGGGGUGAAAUCCCGGGGCUCAACCUCGGAACUGCCUUUGAUACAGCACGUCUCGAGUCCGGAAGAGGUGGGUGGAAUUCCUAGUGUAGAGGUGAAAUUCGUAGAUAUUAGGAAGAACACCGGUGGCGAAGGCGGCUCACUGGCCCGGUACUGACGCUGAGGUGCGAAAGCGUGGGGAGCAAACAGG
rnacentral:rRNA from 1 species